rnacentral:lncRNA from 1 species
AUCACGACGCUACGAAGAAUCAAAAUAAAAACAAUUGGAGCAAUAGGAAGAAUCAGAAGAAAAUUAAACAAAAUUCAGAAUUUUAUGAGUCCUAUUAAAUUCUCACGAUUCUAUAUUCUUUGGUUCUUUAUUAAGCUAUUUUUUUAUAUUCGUAUGCAAACUGUAUCUAUGUUGUUAUUAAUUUUGCAUUAUUUUUUUCUCCUUCUUUCCAAACCUCUCCUCCAUUAC